CACAGAUGAGUGCUAGUGUUGGAGGGUUUCCGCCCUUCAGUGCUGCAGCAAACGCAUUAAGCACUCCGCCUGGGGAGUACGACCGCAAGGUUGAAACUCAAAGGAAUUGACGGGGGCCCGCACAAGCGGUGGAGCAUGUGGUUUAAUUCGAAGCAACGCGAAGAACCUUACCAGGUCUUGACAUCCUUUGACCACUCUAGAGAUAGAGCUUUCCCUUCGGGGACAAAGUGACAGGUGGUGCAUGGUUGUCGUCAGCUCGUGUCGUGAGAUGUUGGGUUAAGUCCCGCAACGAGCGCAACCCUUAUUGUUAGUUGCCAUCAUUUAGUUGGGCACUCUAGCGAGACUGCCGGUGACAAACCGGAGGAAGGUGGGGAUGACGUCAAAUCAUCAUGCCCCUUAUGACCUGGGCUACACACGUGCUACAAUGGGAAGUACAACGAGUCGCUAGACCGCGAGGUCAUGCAAAUCUCUUAAAGCUUCUCUCAGUUCGGAUUGCAGGCUGCAACUCGCCUGCAUGAAGCCGGAAUCGCUAGUAAUCGCGGAUCAGCACGCCGCGGUGAAUACGUUCCCGGGCCUUGUACACACCGCCCGUCACACCACGAGAGUUUGUAACACCCGAAGUCGGUGAGGUAACCUUUUUGGAGCCAGCCGCCUAAGGUGGGAUAGAUGAUUGGGGUGAAGUCUACGGGGGAACCCCCAAAAAAAAUUUUAAAGGCAGGGAGUUGGGGCCCGAAACCGCCGUUUAAGACCCAAAAAGCCGGCCUGUCACCCGGGGGGUUCCCCCCCGGCUUAUCCCCCUUUUACCCAGCACCCCUGGGGAAAUCCCCUCCCCCCUCUUUGGGGGUCUAGGUACGCCCCGGGGUCCGAGGGGGCCCGCCGGGGGGGGGGGGGGGGGGGGGUUUUACCUUUUGAGGAUUUAAAACACCGGGGGGGGGGGGGGGGUUUUGGCGCCCCAAAAAGUGGGGGGGGAAGGGGGGGGGGCCCCCCCAACUUUUACCGCGGGGGGGGGGGGGGGGGCGAGUUAUGUCUGCGCCGGGGGGGGGUUCUGGGGGGAAAGAAAGGCCCGGGGGGGGGGGGUGUUUCUCUAGAGACAAAAAGGAGCGG
rnacentral:rRNA from 1 species